rnacentral:tRNA from 5 species
GGCCCCGUAGCUCAACGGAUAGAGCGAUCCCCUCCUAAGGGAUAGGUUGCAGGUUCAAGUCCUGCCGGGGUCA